rnacentral:rRNA from 1 species
UCGCCCUUAGAGUUGAUCCUGGCUCAGGACGAACGCUGGCGGCGCGCCUAACACAUGCAAGUCGAGCGAGAAGGAUAACUUCGGUUAUCUGGAAAGCGGCGGACGGGUGAGUAACGCGUGGGAAACCUGCCUUAUACAGGGGGAUAGCUACUGGAAACGGUAAUUAAUACCCCAUGAAACUCUAGUAUCGCAUGAUACAUGAGUCAAAACUUUAGUGGUAUAGGAUGGUCCCGCGUCCCAUUAGCUAGUUGGUAAGGUAAAAGCUUACCAAGGCGACGAUGGGUAGCCGGCCUGAGAGGGUGAACGGCCACACUGGAACUGAGACACGGUCCAGACUCCUACGGGAGGCAGCAGUGGGGAAUAUUGCACAAUGGGGGAAACCCUGAUGCAGCGACGUCGUGUGAGCGAUGAAGGCUUUCGAGUCGUAAGGCUCUGUCCUAAGGGAAGAAGAAGUGACGGUACCUUAGGAGGAAGCCCCGGCUAACUACGUGCCAGCAGCCGCGAUAAUACGUAGGGGGCGAGCGUUGUCCGGAAUUACUGGGCAUAAAGGGUGAGUAGGCGGCCUAGCAAGUCAGGUGUUAAAUCCUUCGGCUCAACCGAAGUAAGCACUUGAAACUGUUAGGCUUGAGUGCAGGAGAGGAGAGUGGAAUUCCUAGUGUAGCGGUGAAAUGCGUAGAUCUUAGGAAGAACACCAGUGGCGAAGGCGACUCUCUGGACUGCAACUGACGCUGAG